GUGGGGAAUAUUGGGCAAUGGGCGCAAGCCUGACCCAGCAACGCCGCGUGAAGGAAGAAGGCUUUCGGGUUGUAAACUUCUUUUACCAGGGACGAAACAAAUGACGGUACCUGGUGAAUAAGCCACGGCUAACUACGUGCCAGCAGCCGCGGUAAUACGUAGGUGGCGAGCGUUAUCCGGAUUUAUUGGGUGUAAAGGGCGUGUAGGCGGGACAGCAAGUCAGAUGUGAAAACCAGAGGCUCAACCUCUGGCUUGCAUUUGAAACUGUUGUUCUUGAGUGUCGGAGAGGUAAUCGGAAUUCCGUGUGUAGCGGUGAAAUGCGUAGAUAUACGGAGGAACACCAGUGGCGAAGGCGGAUUACUGGACGAUAACUGACGCUGAGGCGCGAAAGCGUGGGGAGCAAACAGGAUUAGAUACCCCGGUAGUCC
rnacentral:rRNA from 1 species